UGCAAGUCGAACGGCAGCACGGAGAGCUUGCUCUCUGGUGGCGAGUGGCGAACGGGUGAGUAAUAUAUCGGAACGUGUCCAAUAAUGGGGGAUAACGAGUCGAAAGAUUCGCUAAUACCGCAUACGCCCUACGGGGGAAAGCAGGGGAUCGUAAGACCUUGCGUUAAUGGAGCGGCCGAUAUCUGAUUAGCUUGUUGGUGAGGUAAAGGCUCACCAAGGCGACGAUCAGUAGCUGGUUUGAGAGAACGACCAGCCACACUGGAACUGAGACACGGUCCAGACUCCUACGGGAGGCAGCAGUGGGGAAUUUUGGACAAUGGGGGCAACCCUGAUCCAGCCAUUCCGCGUGAGUGAAGAAGGCCUUCGGGUUGUAAAGCUCUUUCGCAAGGGAAGAAAACUUAUGAUCGAAUAAAUCAUGAGGUUGACGGUACCUUGAUAAGAAGCACCGGCUAACUACGUGCCAGCAGCCGCGGUAAUACGUAGGGUGCGAGCGUUAAUCGGAAUUACUGGGCGUAAAGCGUGCGCAGGCGGUUUUGUAAGUCGGAUGUGAAAUCCCCGGGCUCAACCUGGGAACUGCGUUCGAAACUGCAAGGCUAGAGUGUGUCAGAGGGGGGUAGAAUUCCACGUGUAGCAGUGAAAUGCGUAGAGAUGUGGAGGAAUACCAAUGGCGAAGGCAGCCCCCUGGGAUAACACUGACGCUCAUGCACGAAAGCGUGGGGAGCAAACAGGAUUAGAUACCCUGGUAGUCCACGCCCUAAACGAUGUCAACUAGUUGUUGGUAGAGUAAAAUCUAUGAGUAACGUAGCUAACGCGUGAAGUUGACCGCCUGGGGAGUACGGUCGCAAGAUUAAACCUC
rnacentral:rRNA from 1 species